CACAACAACUGUUUUCCAUUUUUCAGUUUAGAUCUCUCUCUCUCUCACAUUGUCACUCACUUUUUUUCUUUCUUUUUCUCGUAACCUCAAAUCAUUUGAUUCCUCAAACCCAGAAACAAGGUGAAGCCUCUGUAGCAGCCUCCGGUUACCGAGUUGACUCAUUCAAUAUAAAUCAAAUUAAUGGAGAUGGGAAGCGAAGGGUUGAUUGCAAGGAGGCUGACUUUUUGUAUCUCCAUGUUUUCUCGGAUUCUCCAUUUUAAUCUCCGACAACUCCAACUUUAUACACUAUUCAUAGAAUAGCAAAGUGGAGUUAACAACUAAGAAGUCUGUUCAGCUGAAACUCUUCUGAAAUGCGAUUUAUUGCUUUGAUGAAUUUACUCUGGAAAAUAAGUUCAGUGUUCUCACUUUUCAUGUUCUUCGGCUAGUGAGACAAGGGAAAACUAGGGUUAAUGUUGUAUAUGGUCUGAUUGAUGGUUGUAGGUACAAUGUGUCUGAGAAAUAUGGUGUACAUGUGGACACUUUUUUGCAAUACAUAUAUUAGGCCUCUAACCCAUUUGUAUAUAUAUCUAUAAGUGGAUUGUGUUAUAUUGUAGUAAUUUUAUAUGCACCUUAA